GGGUCAGUAGGUUGGUCGUGCCACCGGUACGUACUGGUCUCACUGAUUCCUCCUUCCUGAAGAACCGUAAUGCCAUUAAUUUGGUGUUGCGGGGGAACAGGACUGUUACUUUGAAAAAAUUAGAGUGUUUAAAGCAAGCUAACGCUUGAAUACAUUAGCAUGGAAUAAUGAAAUAGGACGAUCGAUCCUAUUUUGUUGAUUUCUAGGAUUGAAGUA
rnacentral:rRNA from 1 species